GGAAGUGUGCCUGAAAAAGGACUACUUUGAUAGAGUACACCACGGAGGUUAAAAUCCCCCCACUUCCU
rnacentral:tRNA from 1 species